rfam:Mesocestoides corti genome assembly, scaffold: MCOS_contig0000204
GUCGGCUAUGGUGACAUGAGUCCCAUAACCCCCUUGGGUAAAGUAAUAGGCUCCGGCUGCGCGCUCUGUGGUGUCCUGGUUCUAGCAAUGCCUAUUCCCAUAAUCGUCAAUAAU